rnacentral:rRNA from 1 species
AGUGAACGCUGGCGGUAGGCCUAACACAUGCAAGUCGAACGGCAGCACAGUAAGAGCUUGCUCUUACGGGUGGCGAGUGGCGGACGGGUGAGGAAUACAUCGGAAUCUACUUUUUCGUGGGGGAUAUCGUAGGGAAACUUACGCUAAUACCGCAUACGACCUACGGGUGAAAGCAGGGGAUCUUCGGACCUUGCGCGAUUGAAUGAGCCGAUGUCGGAUUAGCUAGUUGGCGGGGUAAAGGCCCACCAAGGCGACGAUCCGUGGCUGGUCUGAGAGGAUGAUCAGCCACACUGGAACUGAGACACGGUCCAGACUCCUACGGGAGGCAGCAGUGGGGAAUAUUGGACAAUGGGCGCAAGCCUGAUCCAGCCAUACCGCGUGGGUGAAGAAGGCCUUCGGGUUGUAAAGCCCUUUUGUUGGGAAAGAAAAGCAGCAGGUUAAUACCCCGCUGUUCUGACGGUACCCAAAGAAUAAGCACCGGCUAACUUCGUG